rnacentral:rRNA from 1 species
GUGUUGUGAAAUGUUGGGUUAAGUCCCGCAACGAGCGCAACCCUUAUCCUUUGUUGCCAGCGGUCCGGCCGGGAACUCAAAGGAGACUGCCAGUGAUAAACUGGAGGAAGGUGGGGAUGACGUCAAGUCAUCAUGGCCCUUACGACCAGGGCUACACACGUGCUACAAUGGCGCAUACAAAGAGAAGCGACCUCGCGAGAGCAAGCGGACCUCAUAAAGUGCGUCGUAGUCCGGAUUGGAGUCUGCAACUCGACUCCAUGAAGUCGGAAUCGCUAGUAAUCGUGGAUCAGAAUGCCACGGUGAAUACGUUCCCGGGCCUUGUACACACCGCCCGUCACACCAUGGGAGUGGGUUGCAAAAGAAGUAGGUAGCUUAACCUUCGGGAGGGCGCUUACCACUUUGUGAUUCAUGACUGGGGUGAAGUCGUAACAAGGUAACCGUAGGGGAACCUGCGGUUGGAUCAC